AUGACUACUUUUCUUCUCCACUUUCUCUAGAUGCUGCGGUUUCAGAUUACGGUAUAUUUCAAUUAUAUCAUAUUCUUUGAAUUCAUAUGGGUAUUUCCUUUUUUAAUUUUGUUAUCAAAUGAUUUGGUAUAUUAAUAUAUUACUAUAUCUCGUGCCAAACGUGCGAAAAUCAUGCAUGCAAAAAACAUACUAGCUACUGCCACAAGCCAACUUAUCUUUAUAUUAAAUGCCGGGUAAUUGUUUUAUGCCUCUGUGUUCGUGAGAGGGAGAGAGAGAGAGAGAGAGAGAGAGAGAGAGAUGGGGAACAUUUUUCCAGUGUACAAGUUUAUUCUGCAUGGGGUUAUGAAGCUAGUAGGGAUGAGACCCCAAACAGUGGACAUCGAGCCAGGAACUAUCAUGAACUUCUGGGUGCCCAAUAAAAUUACAGAAAAGCAGAAAUUCAAGCCCGCCGUGGUAUUCAUCCAUGGGUUUGCAAUGGAUGGCAUCACUACAUGGCAAUUUCAAGUGCUAUCUCUUGUUAAAGACUACGCAGUUUAUGUUCCGGACCUUCUCUUCUUUGGAGGCUCCACUACGGAUAAACCAGAUAGAUCACUGGAGUUUCAAUCGGAGUGUGUGGCAAAGGGUUUGAGCAUACUUGGGGUGGAGAGGUGCACCGUGGUGGGGCUGAGCUAUGGAGGCAUGGUUGGGUUUAAGAUGGCUGAGUUGUACCCUAAUUUGGUUGAGUCUAUGGUGGUGACUUGUUCAGUUAUGGCUUUAACCAGGUCAAUUACUAAUGCAUCUCUUGAUAGACUUGGGUUCAAAUGCUGGUCAGAUUACUUGCUUCCCGACUCAGUCAAAGGUGUGAGAAACCUUUUUGAAAUUGCUGCCUAUAAAUUUCCACAUCUCCCUGAUUGGAUUUACAAACACUAUUUAGAGGUUAUGUUUGAACACAGAAAAGAGAGAGUGGAACUUUUGGAUGCAUUGAUUGUGGAAGACAAGGACUUUACAGCCGCUCAUUUCCCACAGGUUUUCUAUACAUUUUGGACAGUCUGCAUCUUUAUGUCCGCCAUUAUCCAAAUAUGUUAGACAAUUUGCGUGUGCAUCUUUUGUGGGGAGAGAAUGACAAGAUUUUCAACAUGGAAACUGCCAAUAAUCUCAAACUAUACAGUACUAUAUGAAGAUAAUCCAUUUAUAUUGGGGUCUUCUGAUUAUAUGACAGCCAACUUGGAGACAACGCAACUCUACAGUCAAUAGAGAAGACGGGCCACCUUGUUCAAGUGGAAGGACUAUUUGUAUACAACAAGGAACUCAAGAAAUUUCUCUCUUCCCUGUUAGAAGAAAAUGUGCACGAAUAACAAACAAACUUUGCAAAUUGCAACCA